GGCGGUAGCUCAGUUGGUCAGAGCAGCGGACUCAUAAUCCGCCGGUCGUGGGUCCACGGUGGUGACUGGCGGCAGUUUGCCGCCGAGGCCG
rnacentral:tRNA from 1 species